CCCUGUGACAUACCACUUGUUGCCUCGGCGGAUCAGCCCGCUCCCGGUAAAACGGGACGGCCCGCCAGAGGACCCCUAAACUCUGUUUCUAUAUGUAACUUCUGAGUAAAACCAUAAAUAAAUCAAAACUUUCAACAACGGAUCUCUUGGUUCUGGCAUCGAUGAAGAACGCAGCAAAAUGCGAUAAGUAAUGUGAAUUGCAGAAUUCAGUGAAUCAUCGAAUCUUUGAACGCACAUUGCGCCCGCCAGUUUCUGGCGGGAUUGCCUUGUUCGAGCGUCAUUUCAACCCUCAAGCACAGCUUGGUGUUGGGACUCGCGUUUAAUUCGCGUUCCCCAAAUUGAUUGGCGG
rnacentral:rRNA from 1 species